rnacentral:rRNA from 1 species
UGGGGAAUAUUGGACAAUGGGCGAAAGCCUGAUCCAGCCAUGCCGCGUGUGUGAAGAAGGUCUUCGGAUUGUAAAGCACUUUAAGCUGGGAGGAAGGGCAGUAAGCGAAUACCUUGCUGUUUUGACGUUACCGACAGAAUAAGCACCGGCUAACUCUGUGCCAGCAGCCGCGGUAAUACAGAGGGUGCAAGCGUUAAUCGGAAUUACUGGGCGUAAAGCGCGCGUAGGUGGUUCGUUAAGUUGAAUGUGAAAGCCCCGGGCUCAACCUGGGAACUGCAUCCAAAACUGGCGAGCUAGAGUAUGGCAGAGGGUGGUGGAAUUUCCUGUGUAGCGGUGAAAUGCGUAGAUAUAGGAAGGAACACCAGUGGCGAAGGCGACCACCUGGGCUCAUACUGAAACUGAGGUGCGAAAGCGUAGGGAGCAAACAGG